rnacentral:lncRNA from 1 species
AGACAGUGGAGGGAAGUUGGUUGCGUCGGACACCAGCCAGUGUCAUGGCUCUCGGUCCGUGCUGGGAUUCUGAUGGAAGAGGGGUGGCUUGUAAACCCCACGCCUGGUGCGACAUUUGCUAUUGGAGAAGCUGAUCUGAACCUGGCAGCCAUCGGGACAGAACGAAGGGGUGAGAAGUUACCAGAAAGUGACAGUUUGUUGCUUAGUGCAGUAAGUUCUGUGGAAGACAGAUGAACCAAGAGCUAUGGGACUUCCGGUGAUGGGGGGUAACUUUGGACCGGGGGGGUCCUGAUGGGCUUGGCAGGAAAGGAAGUCUUGGGGGAUGGCCCUGAGAACCCAUCAGACACCUGAUGAGCAGGCUGUGAUGGGAAGGGCUUCAGGCAGCGAUGCCUCUGUGCCGGGGUACCACGGGGAACAGGUCAUCGGGUUAACGCUUGGGUGGCCCGUGGGCUGGAUAAUGUAUAACAGGAGCAUGGAAGGCAGAAGAGAGGAGAUGCGUCACAAAAGCCCAUGGGUCCAUCCAGGAGCUUGUUGUACUGCAUUCUCCAGGCAGUGGGGAGCCCGUACUGGGUUUUGAGCCAGCUUCUACUUCAGAGAGGUGGGACUUUGAAAAAAACUUGUUGAUUACACUAUAUUCGGCAGCCUCUUCCCCCCACAAUAUGUUCCUGGGAUGAGGCGCACGUUUCCUCUCUGAGGGUGGUGGAUAAUAAUAGGCGCACGACCCAGAGAGGGAAGAGGAGAAGCAGGCGGAGAGGCAAGCAGGCACAUGUUUAAUGAGUUCACAGUGCAAUUUUGUUCUAAUUUCCACCCCCUCCGCCCCUCUCACCCUCGUGCAAAAUUUUCCCUGAUGAAGCCAGUGCCUCAUGAUCCCUGGAAGAAGGCAGGAGUUGCAGGGGGUGGCAGUGUAACCUCUGCCGGGGGGAGUUGUUUGGGUGCGUCCUCAUAGGCAUAAGAGCCAGUCACUGGUCCUCCACGUCCUUGACCUGGGCAAAGAUCGCACAGUGACCAUAACCUCUGUUCAGCAAGUGCCCUUCAAGGACGAGGCAACAUGGCUUCAGUUUAUACCUGGCACCGUCUGGAAAGGCAAGCAUUUGACAGAGGACACCGCUGUCCAAGGCAGCAUGUCCAUGGCCAUGGCCACGGCCACGUUCACACGGCUGGUCGCUGCAUGACGGGGAGGUGGAGUCAGAAUUACACCUACCAGGCUCUAUCCAGAGCCAAAUGUGACCCAAUGAAGGACAAAGCAGAGGGGAAUUUUCAUGGACUUUCAAUCCCACUGUGCGUCCUGAGUCCAACUUGCUUCUGUGAGUUUCCUCCUUGGUAGAAUGGAUGAGGUCCUUCCUCCUUCACAGUGUCUCUGACAAGAUGAAAUGAGCCUGUCUGGCCCCCAUCAGGCAUCCAGAGCUGGGAGCUGCUCCUGGCAGCCGGGAGUCCUUCAAUGUCAGAAGGCUGGGCUCCCACCCCUGCCAGGGAUCCAGGACAGCACCCACUUCUCAGGACGGACAGAGCCCCCUAAACCAGCUUUUCCCCAGAACUCCCUCUCUCCCCCUCCAUCACCUGCCACCUCGGGCACAUCUCAUCCUCGGGUCGGUGGGAGAGGGGCACCCGAGCCAAUCAGUGUCCUCCUGCCCAGAAAACCCAUCACGGGCCAGGUUUGUCUUUGCUAGGACCUCCCCCAAGAGAGGAGGAAGGCUGAGGGGCCGAGCCUCCUGAGAGUGACCCCUUCUCUCUUUCAUCUCUUUGAACCCCAAAGCCGAGCAGCUGAUUCAUCACAUUCAGUGUGGUUCUGGAAACGCCCCUUCUCACACUCUGCUUUCCUUCUGUGCAACCCUAAUGGCUCUGGGGAAAAGAACACUGUCACCUGCUCAGAAUAAUCCCGUCCUAAGUCUUAGAACAGGCUCUCUGCAGGAAUGGCAACAAGGUGUCUAUGUCUGUGUACACAUCUGUAUACACAUCUGCAUGUGUACAUGUAUUCACGGGUAUGUGUGUGUGUGUGUGUGUACACAUAUACAGAGACUGAGAACGAGAAUGGGAGAGACAGAGACAGAAAUUUAUGUAAGGAAUCAGCUUGUACAAUGGUGGGCUAAAAUCUAUAGGGCGGGCCAGCAGGCUGGAGAUCCAAGAAUGUGUAGAAGUUGCUGUCUUGAGUCCAGAAUCUGCAGGGCAGGGUGGGCGAGCUGGAAACUCAGGCAGAAUUUCUGUGUUGAGCUUGAGGCAGAAUAGCUCCUUCCCCGGGAAACCUCUUAGGGCCUUAGGACCUUCAGCUGAUGGGAUGCGCACACCCCCCGCACAUUAUGGAGGGCCGUUUGCUUUUCUUAAACUUACCGCAAUGUAAAUGUGAAUCAUAUUAUCAUGCUGGGAUUGAAAGUCCCACCCCCACCAAAUCUUUAGAACAAUGACUAGUCCUUGCUCAAACAACUGGCACCAUAGGCUAGCCAAGUUGACACAUGAAGGUAACCAUCACAGCCCCUGAGAAGGACUGGCACCUACCAGUCCUUAGAAGACAAGGCACCUUUCCUAGGAAGCUCAAGGGCCUGGUGAGGGGCCCACUUUGCUGAAUUCUCAGACCCAGGGAAUUAUUACCAGGUACGUGUUCAGAGAAUGGGCUGAUGUUUCUGAGCAAGAAUUCCAUGCUGGAGCAGAAGGAGCUUCACAUGGAUGGUUAGAAAUUCAGUUCGCUUAUUCAUGCGUUCAUUUGUCCAGCCAGCCAGCUGCCCAUCCAGCUGAUGAGCCGCUUUUACUAGAUGCUGGCAAUAUGUGGGGCAUUGGGUUAGGCCUUUUGGGACCAGAGGUGAAAAGCAAAAAGCCACUGCAUUAAGGAGAUGGGCCCAGACAUAAAUGGUUCCCUCAUAGUAAGUUCUCAGUACCAAAUCGAUGCCUUGUUGUGCAAACUGUGCUUUGCAGAAAUCCCAUCAGCCUUGGCCUGCGAGGGUUGGUAUGAGACAGCGCCUGCUGUGCCUGUCAUUGCAGCCCAGUGAACCUUACUCCUCUGUGAGUCCUGGGCCCACUGGAGAAUCCAGCCCAAGCCAUGGAGAGAACUCUCGUCAAAACAGGGCCAGUCCCAAGACACACCAAAUAUUGUGACUAUUUCAGGAGGUACAGAUACACGGCAAGAUGGUUAACGAAUCCGACUAGGAACCAUGAGGUUGCCGGUUCAAUCCCCGGCCUUGCUUAAUGGGUUAAGGAUCCAGUGUUGCUGUGAGCUGUGGUGUAGUUCGCAGAUGCGGCUCGGAUCCCGCGUUGCUGUGGCUCUGGCCUGGCGUAGCAGUUACAGCUCCGAUACGACCCUUAGCCUGGGAACCUCCAUAUGCUGCAGGAGCAGCCCUAAAAAAGGCAAAAAG